ensembl:lncRNA
CUCAUAUUUACUGUUGUUCAGUGACAUUUCACGGGUGAAAACCAGUCAUGCCAAUAGGGAUAUGCACGAUUGAGAGUUUUAUGUGAAGUUAAAAAAAAAAUCCACAUGCAGAUUUUAUGAAUUUGUUUGGUUUGAAAGUUACUUCUGUGUGAGAUAUGCUUCAAACCUCUCUAUGCUACUGACAACAACGCUUUUUUCAAAAUCAAAAUUUCAUUGAAAUUUCACUAAUGUUACCACAUCUUUUAUAUUUACAAAGGUGACACUUAUACUUGGCACUUAAUGCACUUGAUAUAGCUCUUUUUUGCACCAAUAAUAGCACAUUUGCAUCCAGUCAACACUGAUGCAAGAAAAACUAAUUUUGCAUCCCACCUAACAGGUUCUAAAAGCAUUUUGCUAACCCAUUGUUAUGAAAACAUUAUUUCUGAAUGUUCUCAGAAAGUUCGGAAUGUCCAGUCUUUAAAAAACAAAAUAUGUUAAAGACAACAUUUUGGGGGAACAUUCCAUUUUAUAAUUUUGAAAGCAUUAUGGAAUGUUAUUUUUGGAUAUCCUCUACACCAUCUCAAGUCCAACUAAAACAUAAAAAAAAAGUUCCAUGUGAUUGAUGGCACACCCCGCCGAGCACAUCCAACAUGCAAUAGAGAAAGCCGUAGCCAUGGAUACAGCAAAAUAAAGUGGUGAGGAGCGGCUUUGGGGAAGUCAGCGUGCCACCACAGAGCUCCACCGUUAAGACGCUGGAUGAGGGAAUUGCUUUCGGUUGAUUCAGCGCAUUUAGCAGCCGAAGGUGGGGGAAGAAAGAAGAUGAGAGGAAAAAGCGGACGGGUCGGGGAGGGAGGGAGGCUGGUGCUCUGAUCAGAGUCUCUGCCACACCAUUUUUCACAGCAGACAAAAACAUUUGCCUGGAUAUCAAUUUGGAGCCUUGAAGCAGUCUUCCCCUCCUGACCCAUCAUCCAUCAUCUUUUCCUCCCCCUCCACACCACCACCUACAUGUCCUCACCUCUGGGCCGGGCGGUGCUGAAGCUCAAGGCGGGGCGAGCACUUCUGAGGGACAGUCUGCUUGCAUUAUGCUGCCGUCCGAGACUCCGCCCUGUGCCGAGCCCUUAUUGGCACCUCCACCAGCAGCCCAUCAGUCAUCGCUGGACCGUCAUCCAUCACGCAUGGCGAUCAAUAGCAGGCCACGCAUUCAUCAGGCGGAGGUGCUGGUGGUCAUACAGCAUGGGGGUGGGGCUGGAGCAACACAGUGAAGGGGUGAGAGUCCAAAACGUACUUGUGAUGUCUGAAUUUGCAGGUGCAUUUACAGGUGCGGAUUUGCAUGUGAAGGUUAGCAUCUGCAUAAACGCAUUAUCUUGAAGAUUCCACGAAAUCUAAAUAGGAGCUCAAGUGUGUUGCUUCAGGGCCAUAUACUCUAUAUGCUAGUGUACACCUAAAAGUAAGCAGACAUUUAAAAUGUACACUUUUUGUUUUCCGAGAAAAUUGAAUAAAUAUAUUGACA